rnacentral:lncRNA from 1 species
UAAAUUUGGCCAGCAAAAGCUCCCUCUUGAAAACUUGAAUUUUAACCAUAGAGAAUGAAAAAGAAUGCAUGGGAAAGGUAGAUCACAAGCUAAAAUUAAAAAAUAUUACCUUUACUUGUUGAUUCCUUGAAAUCCAACAAUUUCUCUUGAAUUUUUCCUUCCUAGGGUUUGUUUUUCUCUUUUUCUCUUUGUUCCCUUACUUGGC